GCGGCAGCAGUGGCCGGAGCCCGGUGAGGCGGCGGCGGAGCUCGGAGGCGGCCCCGGCCAUGGCAGAUCUGUGCAAGCCUGCUCUGGACUGAACACCCAGCCAAACCCCGGGAGCUCAUGCCUGUGGCCCACCUGGGCCUGGGCCUCGGUACUUUCCAGCGCCGGAGGAACUGAUAAGAAACUGAGCAAGCCGAGCUACACCACAUGAAAAGGACUUUUCUUCCUAGACUUGCCAUCCCAUCGAACAGCAAGAGGUUUUAUUAUUUAAUAUUAUUCAAAUUUCUGUUAAAUAAACAGCUUUUUCCACUUCUCUCCAAGGAAUUUUAUUUUUUUUUCCCUUUCCCAGACCAGUUGGUAGGGAGGGGCAUUUCCCUGGGGAAAUCCCCAUUUGGAGUUUUCCUCCCUAAUUUGCCCUAAACUAGGACAAAUACAGUUUUUGGCGCCCAGUGCGGGGCAAGAGAAAGUGGAAAAACCUGUACUGAUUGUUGGUUGUAUUUUUGGUUGUAUUUAUUCUGUAUUGGGAUAAAGCAGUCAGUAGCCAUGUUGUUUGGAUACAUAAUAUCUCUCGGGGUGGAGGCCUUCAUGUGGAUCUGGUCCCUAGAAUUGUUUGAGGUUUUAAUACCUGUCUUUGCCCUCUUUCACAGUAGAGAGGCACGGAUUAGAAUGGUUAUUGUGCUGGGCUUGGUGAUAAUGAUUUAUAGGAAAUUCAUAGAACGACUGAAGUUUCUGUCAGGUAUGUUUGGCUUAUGGUUUCUUCGCCCGACUCUGCCUCCCAGUCCCAGUUGCACAUUUUGGGAGUUCAUUAGUAAUUGUACCCAGUUUGUUAGAGGAAGAGCAGGGGAUGAGGCUUUUCAGCCUUUUCUUUCCUUCUUCUCCUUUGAAUCUGUUAUGUUCCUCUUUGAGAAUAUCCAGUUUCCCCUGAGUGUUAAGGAUACCACAUUCCUGGUCACUUUCCUUGUAGUUCAGCUGUUAAGCUUCCUCUAUAUGGUCUGCAACUUCUCUAGAAUGAGGGCUGAGAUAUCCAGAGGAGCCAACGAGACCCCUGUCCCAGAAGUAGACUCAGGUGUGAGAAAUCCUGAGUGGUGUAGAGAAUGGGAGAGAAUUGGCCGAACUCUGAAGGAAUUUUCUGAUCCCCCAGCCUGGGAAUUUUCACGUGAACAAAUUCAGAACCCAGAUGAAGUAGGGAAAUAUCUGGAAGAGUAUUGCUGUGAUGAUUCUAAGAAGAAAAAUAUCAUUGCAAUAAGCUGGGCCCUAGCGUAUGCUUAUCGCACGCUGCUAGAUACUGUAAGGCAGGCAGAUAAAUCAGCAGCUACCCCAGUCACUCCGGCUGCAGCCAAGCCAGCAGCCAAACCAGACAGUGAGCCUAAGCCAGCAGCCAAACCAGACAGUGAGCCUAAGCCAGCAGCCAAACCAGACAGUGAGCCUAAGCCAGUGGCCAAACCGGACAGUGAGCCUAAGCCAGUGGCCAAACCGGACAGUGAGCCUAAGCCAGUGUCUGUUGCUCCUACCACGAGAGGUAUGAAAUUCAAAACCAAAACCGAUCGGCCAGUAGAUGAUGAUAAUGGCGAUGCGGGGGAAGGACCCUCAAGACCAGCAACUGAUCAAAAAUCAGAAGGCACUGGUGAACCUUUCUCCCUGAAGGACCUUCAUGGCCUGAGAAAAGAUUACACUCGACGACCUGAUGAAUCUAUAAUUAGUUGGUUAGUCCGUCUGUGGGAUGCUGCAGGUGAGGCUACAGUUCUGGAUGGCACUGAAGCGAGGCAUCUGGGAUCCCUGUCACACGAUCCGGUUAUCGAUCAAGAAGUGAUGAGGGGAGCUGACCCUUAUAGUCUCUGGGAACGGGUCCUGAGAAGUGUGGCACAAAGAUAUCUGUGUGCAGACGAUCUCUAUAUACAGCAAACUUGUUGGAAAACCAUAGAACAAGGGAUUCAGCACUUGAGAGAAAUGGCAAUAGCAGAGAUUGUCUUUGUGGGUGACUUAGGUACUAGAAAUCCAGACUUGGUGCCAUGUACAUCUGUGAUGUGGCAAAAACUUGUUCGACUUGAGCCACAAGAAUACGCUUCUGCUUUAGCAACAAUUGCAGCUGUGGAAACACGUAUGCAAAACUUCCAAGACAAAAUAGAGGAGAAUCUCAAGAAACUCAGGGAGGACCUUCUUCCAGUCUCGGCAGUACAGACCAGGAGCCCUGGUACUCAACGCAGAAGUUCCCCAGAUAGAGAGAAAUGGCUACGAGCUGAUCUGUGGUUUUUCCUACGUGACUCUGGAGAAAACAUGAAAAGAUGGGAUGGAAAAUCUACUGCUGCUCUGGCAAAACGGGUGCAUGAAUUAGAAGACAGCAAGACUCAGGAGGGAUACUCCACCAAAAAGAAAGCUGCUCCAGUAGCCUGUAGUCAAACUGACAAGUAUGAUGAUGACAUGUCUGAUUCUCUUGAAGGAACCUCCAAGACAUAUACCCAAGGAAAGAAGGAUAACAAGGCUUAGAGGGGCCCUGCCUCUAGCCAGGUAGAGGCUAGGGAAAACCGUGUCUUUUGGACUGUGUGGAUUCGUUGGCCUGGCACAUCAGAACCACGAAAAUAUGAGGCCUUGGUUGACACUGGUGCACAGUGCACCCUAAUCCCAUCAAGAUAUGUAGGGGCAGAAUCUGUUUCUAUUGCUGGUGUGACAGGGGGAUCACAGGACUUUACUUUAGUAGAAGCUGAUGUGAGCCUGACUGGAAAUGAGUGGUAGAAGCCACAACUGGAUGGUUGGAAACUUACCCUGUGCCUCAUGCCACUGCCCGGAACACCAUCCUGGGACUUGAAAAGCAGGCCCUUUGGAGGCAUGGCACCCCUGAGAGGAUUGAAUCAGACAAUGGGACUCAUUUAAAGAAUAACCUUAUAAACACCUGGGCUAGGGAACAUGGCAUUGAGUGGGUGUAUCAUAUCCCCUACCAUGCACGUGCUGCAGGGAAAGUGGAGAGGUACAAUGGACUGCUAAAGACUACCUUGAAAGCGUUGGGUGGGGGAUCUUUCAAAAAUUGGGAGCAGCAUCUAGCAAAGGCCACCUGGAUAGUUAACACCCGAGGUUCCACCAACUGAGCAGGCCCAGCCCAAUCCGAGGCCCUGAAUAUAGUAGAUGGAGACAAAGUCCCAGCGGUACAUCUCAGAGGUUUGUUAGGAAAGACAGUUUGGAUCAAUUCUUCUUUGAGUGCAGGCAAACCCAUUCGUGGAGUUGUUUUUGCUCAGGGACCGGGUUGCACAUGGUGGAUAAUGCGGAAAGAUGGAACAACACAAUGUGUACCUCAGAGAGAUCUCAUGGUUGGGUGAAGAUCAUGAAUGAAUGCCCUUGUCUGUAUAUAAUGUAUGUGUUGUAGAGUUAAAAUAUAUAUAUAUAUUAAUUUUGAUAAUAAGUUGACGAUAUGGGGAUAAGGGGUGGAAUGUCCUGGGGUGACUUUAUGAUACUGGUAUCCCCAAUCGUCUGGUUUAUGUUAUAUAUUAAGUUCUGCACCUUUAAGACUGGCUCUGAGAGCAAGAGAGGGGGAAGAAGAAGCCGCAGUUUGUGUUAAAGAAAAACAUCACUCCCACACAUCUCGCUCCUGGACUGUGGUGUCUGCAGCACGGACAGACAGCGGGACAGAGCUUCUCUCUGGCUUUUAGUUAGUUUUAGCUAGCUGAGGCAGAGGAGUUCCCUGGACCUUUGUUUUCUCCUUUUCUUAGAUCUGUGCAAGCCUGCUCUGGACUGAACACCCAGCCAAACCCCGGGAGCUCACGCCUGUGGCCCACCGGGGCCUGGGCCUUGGCACUUUCCAGCGCCGGAGGAACUGAUAAGAAACUGAGCAAGCCGAGCUACACCACAUGAAAAGGACUUUUCUUCCUAGACUUGCCAUCCCAUCGAACAGCAAGAGGCAUUAAAAUUCAAAGUUCUGAUAAAAAAUAAAAAAGUUGGAACAAUUGAGGAAGGUCUGCUCAGGAUGGAUGCUGAAUAUGGUGGUGAGACAGAGGAACUGAGUGACUCUGAAUCUGAGUCUGAGGAUGACGACGCAGAUGAC